GACGAACGCUGGCGGCGUGCUUAACACAUGCAAGUCGAACGGAAAGGCCCUGCUUUUGUGGGGUGCUCGAGUGGCGAACGGGUGAGUAACACGUGAGUAACCUGCCCUUGACUUUGGGAUAACUUCAGGAAACUGGGGCUAAUACCGGAUAGGAGCUCCUGCUGCAUGGUGGGGGUUGGAAAGUUUCGGCGGUUGGGGAUGGACUCGCGGCUUAUCAGCUUGUUGGUGGGGUAGUGGCUUACCAAGGCUUUGACGGGUAGCCGGCCUGAGAGGGUGACCGGCCACAUUGGGACUGAGAUACGGCCCAGACUCCUACGGGAGGCAGCAGUUGGGAAUAUUGCACAAUGGGCGGAAGCCUGAUGCAGCAACGCCGCGUGCGGGAUGACGGCCUUCGGGUUGUAAACCGCUUUCGCCUGUGACGAAGCGUGAGUGACGGUAAUGGGUAAAGAAGCACCGGCUAACUGCGUG
rnacentral:rRNA from 1 species